GAUGAACGCUGGCGGCGUGCCUAAUACAUGCCAGUCGAGCGAACAGACGAGGAGCUUGCUCCUCUGACGUUAGCGGCGGACGGGUGAGUAACACGUGGAUAACCUACCUAUAAGACUGGGAUAACUUCGGGAAACCGGAGCUAAUACCGGAUAAUAUAUUGAACCGCAUGGUUCAAUAGUGAAAGACGGUUUUGCUGUCACUUAUAGAUGGAUCCGCGCCGCAUUAGCUAGUUGGUAAGGUAACGGCUUACCAAGGCAACGAUGCGUAGCCGACCGGAGAGGGUGAUCGGCCACACUGGAGCUGAGACACGGUCCAGACUCCUACGGGAGGCAGCAGUAGGGAAUCUUCCGCAAUGGGCGAAAGCCUGACGGAGCAACGCCGCGUGAGUGAUGAAGGUCUUCGGAGCGUAAAACUCUGUUAUUAGGGAAGAACAAAUGUGUAAGUAACUAUGCACGUCUUGACGGUACCUAAUCAGAAAGCCACGGCUAACUACGUG
rnacentral:rRNA from 1 species